rnacentral:rRNA from 1 species
CUACGGGAGGCAGCAGUAGGGAAUCUUCGGCAAUGGACGGAAGUCUGACCGAGCAACGCCGCGUGAGUGAAGAAGGUUUUCGGAUCGUAAAGCUCUGUUGUAAGAGAAGAACGAGUGUGAGAGUGGAAAGUUCACACUGUGACGGUAUCUUACCAGAAAGGGACGGCCAACUACGUGCCAGCAGCCGCGGUAAUACGUAGGUCCCGAGCGUUGUCCGGAUUUAUUGGGCGUAAAGCGAGCGCAGGCGGUUAGAUAAGUCUGAAGUUAAAGGCUGUGGCUUAACCAUAGUACGCUUUGGAAACUGUUUAACUUGAGUGCAAGAGGGGAGAGUGGAAUUCCAUGUGUAGCGGUGAAAUGCGUAGAUAUAUGGAGGAACACCGGUGGCGAAAGCGGCUCUCUGGCUUGUAACUGACGCUGAGGCUCGAAAGCGUGGGGAGCAAACAGGAUUAGAUACCCUGGUAGUCCACGCCGUAAACGAUGAGUGCUAGGUGUUAGACCCUUUCCGGGGUUUAGUGCCGCAGCUAACGCAUUAAGCACUCCGCCUGGGGAGUACGACCGCAAGGUUGAAACUCAAAGG